UACGUAGGCGGCAAGCGUUAUCCGGAUUUACUGGGCGUAAAGCGUGUGUAGGCGUCUCGUAAAGUCGGUGGUGAAAUAUUCAAGCUUAACUUGAAAAACGCUAUCGAUACUCACGGGAUUGAGUGUAAGAGAGGGCAUCGGAACUUUGUAAGUAGCAGUGAAAUGCGUUGAUAUACAAAGGAACACCAAAGGCGAAGGCAGGUGCCUAGAUUACCACUGACGCUGAGACACGAAAGCUAGGGGAGCGAAAGGG
rnacentral:rRNA from 1 species